AGGACCUCCAAGGCCUCGCGCCGCUCCACUGCGCCGCCUCCAAGGGCCGAGUCAGCGUCAUCCACGAGAUCCUUUCCACCAGCCUCGAAUCCGCCGAGAUCAGGACUCGCAACGGCGAGACCGUUCUCCACCUCGCCGUCAAGAACAACCAGUUCGAAGCCCUCAGGUAUUUGGUGGAAAUCCUUAAUGUCUCCACACUCAUCAACUUGCCGGACAACGAUGGCAACACCAUCCUCCACCUCGCCAUCGCCGGGAACCUCAGCGCUGUUGUGAGUUGGGUCGAAAGAACCCUAGAUCUGGAUCCAGCAAGUCGCGGGUCAUCUCCUCGAGCAGCAUGUGGUUACUCACUCGCCUGCCGGCCAGCGGCGUGUGACCUUGUAAGCGGCGGUGCGUGAGGUAGCGUGUGGAGGCCGGGGUGCACUUCCUCUGUUCUAGAUCUAAUCCUGCAUCACUCACAUAUCUUAUCCCUGAGAUCUGAACUGGAAUCAAGGUGGAGAUUGUUGGUUUUGUGUUUCUUAAUGAUGCCCAAGGCUAUGACGAUUUUUUCGGGUGGGUUUUAUCUUCAUAGUUCUCGGUCCGAGAUUGAAGAAUCCAAGUUUGUCACUACUUUUAGGUAGCCCAUUUUAGAAGCUGGGCCAUAAGCCCUAUUCCCACUUUAGAGGAGAAAUAGGCCUCGACCCAUUUGCUCAAGUGGGAGAAGCUCACGGUUUUGAGCCCAAAAGUCUCUUGUGCCUAAGCCCUAAGCCCACAUAUAAAAAACCCAUGUGCGGCCCAUUCUCUUGGUGUUUCCUUCAUUGACCGAACCCUAGCAUUUCUCUCUCUCGUUUCCUUGCUUGGCCAGUUGCUUCCUUCGUGGUUUCCUUUGUGGCUGAUCUUCCAUGGCUUCAUUUCCAUCUUGGUCCGAUGUCUCUUUCCAUGUUGAAAGGCCGCAUCAUUCCUUGUUGAUCUUGGCCGAUUUGUUGUCGAUGCGCAUGCCCUAUUUAAGGGGUUUCGAUCAUCCAUUCUCGGUAAACUUUUCUCAUUGCUUUGUGCUUUUUACCCUCUGUCUUUGUAACCGAUCUACCUUAUGUGAUAACCUACCUUGUGUGGCUUUGAUCAAUUGGGUGAGAGAGAGUUUCGUUUGUAUUCGACCGAGAGGUGUUGGGAUUUUCUGGGCUUUCGGUUUGAGGGUUUCGUUGUGGCUUGUGGUUCCUAUUCGUUGGUGUUACCAAAGUGGUGAACGUACUCUUCAGAUUUGAGCCUUGAUCAUUAUUUAAACAGGGAGUUUUUUACUUUGUGUUCAUCUUUUUAUUGCUAUUAUCGAUACUUUGUGUAUUGUCUUUAUUUUCGAUCUAAAUCUGAUUCGA